rnacentral:snRNA from 1 species
AUCAUUUUUGUAUAUAAUAAAAAAGAAAAAAAAAUCUGUUCUUAUCAGUUUAAUGUCUGAUACGUCCCCUACCGGGGACCAUAUAUUAAAUUGAUUUUUGGAGCAGGGAGAUGGAAUAGGGGCUUGCUCCGUCCACUCCACGCAUCGACCUGGUAUUGCAGUAUUUCUAGGAACGGUGCACCCCCU